UACGUCGGGUGCAAGCGUUGUUCGGAAUUAUUGGGCGUAAAGAGCUCGUAGGCGGUUUGUCGCGUCUGCUGUGAAAACCCGAGGCUCAACCUCGGGCCUGCAGUGGGUACGGGCAGACUAGAGUGCGGUAGGGGAGAUUGGAAUUCCUGGUGUAGCGGUGGAAUGCGCAGAUAUCAGGAGGAACACCGAUGGCGAAGGCAGAUCUCUGGGCCGUAACUGACGCUGAGGAGCGAAAGCAUGGGUAGCGAACAGG
rnacentral:rRNA from 1 species